rnacentral:rRNA from 1 species
GACAACGCUGGCGGCGUGCCUAAUACAUGCAAGUCGAGCGCAGGAAACAAGUAGAUCCCUUCGGGGUGACGCUUGUGGAAUGAGCGGCGACGGGUGAGUAACACGUGGGCAACCUACCUUGUAGACUGGGAUAACUCCGGGAAACCGGAGCUAAUACCGAAUAACCCAUUUUGCUUCAUGGCGAGAUGUUGAAAGACGGUUUCGGCUGUCACUACAAGAUGGGCCCGCGGCGCAUUAGCUAGUUGGUGGGUAAGGGCUUACCAAGGCGACGAUCGGUAGCUGGUCUGAGAGGAUGGUCAGCCACACUGGGACUGAGAUACGGCCCAGACUCCUACGGGAGGCAGCAGCAAGGGAUCUUGCGCAAUGGGCGAAAGCCUGACGCAGCAACGCCGCGUGGGUGAAGAAGGCCUUCGGGUUGUAAAGCCCUUUUCUCGGGGAAGAGGAAGGACGGUACCCGAGGAAUAAGCCUCGGCUAACUACGUG